CCGGAACACCACUGGUUAUUCCAUAAUUAGAGUUGGAAUUUAAGAAUAGUUAGAUAACAACCUAGCUAUUAUUAGAUCUACAAACCAAUUGUUUCCUGAGAAUACCCUAAGCCUAACGUUUUUACUUUCUUGUCUUACAACCUCACAAAGUCACAAUCUGCUAUUGCUUCCUUUUGUUUCUUUUUAUUUUCAUUACUAUCUUACUUAUCUUAAUUCAAAACCUUGGUCUAUUGUGUGAUUUGAGAGCUUUGUAGAAUUCGACCCUUAAGUGCUACAAUCGAUCUCUUAUUUGAGAGAGUGGUCUUAAGGCAAUUUGAUAUAUAUCAAAGUUGGCGCCGUUGCCGAAGUUCUCUAUGAUUCACCAUUAGAUUAGGAUUAGGAUUUUGUCUAAGCUUUU
rnacentral:sRNA from 1 species